ACAGCAGUAGCCGCGGUAAUACAGAGGGUGCGAGCGUUAAUCGGAUUUACUGGGCGUAAAGCGUGCGUAGGCGGCUAAUUGAGUCGGAUGUGAAAUCCCCGAGCUUAACUUGGGAAUUGCAUUCGAUACUGGUUAGCUAGAGUGUGGGAGAGGAUGGUAGAAUUCCAGGUGUAGCGGUGAAAUGCGUAGAGAUCUGGAGGAAUACCGAUGGCGAAGGCAGCCAUCUGGCCUAAUACUGACGCUGAGGUACGAAAGCAUGGGGAGCAAACAGGAUUAGAUACCCCAGUAGUCCCUGUCUCUUAUAC
rnacentral:rRNA from 1 species